rnacentral:rRNA from 1 species
AGUAAAUUGGUUAAGUUAGAAAGGGCGCACGGUGGAUGCCUUGGCACUAGGAGCCGAAGAAGGACGGGACUAACACCGAUAUGCUUUGGGGAGCUGUACGUAAGCGUUGAUCCAGAGAUUUCCGAAUGGGGGAACCCACUAUCUUUAGUCGGAUAGUAUCCUUACGUGAAUACAUAGCGUGAGGAAGGCAGACCCAGGGAACUGAAACAUCUAAGUACCUGGAGGAAGAGAAAGAAAAAUCGAUUU